rnacentral:rRNA from 1 species
UACAGAGGUGGCAAGCGUUGUUCGGAAUUACUGGGCGUAAAGGGCGCGUAGGCGGUCUUGCAAGUCCUGUGUGAAAUCCCUCGGCUCAACUGAGGAACUGCACAGGAAACUGCUUGGCUUGAGUUCGGGAGAGGGAAGCGGAAUUCCGGGUGUAGCGGUGAAAUGCGUAGAGAUCCGGAAGAACACCGGUGGCGAAGGCGGCCUGCUGGGCAGUAGCUGACACUGAGGCGCGACAGCGUGGGGAGCAAACAGG